UACGUAGGGUGCGAGCGUUGUCCGGAAUUAUUGGGCGUAAAGAGCUCGUAGGUGGCGCCGUAAGUCAGGUGUGAAAUUUCGGAGCUUAACUCCGAAACUGCAUUUGAUACUGCGGUGCUUGAGGACUGGAGAGGAGACUGGAAUUUACGGUGUAGCAGUGAAAUGCGUAGAGAUCGUAAGGAAGACCAGUGGCGAAGGCGGGUCUCUGGACA
rnacentral:rRNA from 1 species